rnacentral:lncRNA from 1 species
CGGAUGUCAGUUUUAAUUUAAUAGUAUCAUAUAGAUUUUUCUUUAUUAAUAUCUUUACAGAUCAUUACACUCCAGACCUAUAGAUAAUAACAGAUGUCAACUGUGCAGCCUAUAUCUUAAGGUUGUGCCUUCAAAGCAAACAAGAUGUGACCCAUUCAGAAAUCAACUGUCUAUUUCUACUAUUGCAUCUAAGCAACAAAGUGAAGACAAUGCUCCUUAAG